rnacentral:rRNA from 1 species
GACGAACGCUGGCGGCGUGCUUAACACAUGCAAGUCGAACGAUGAAGCAGAGAAACGCGGCCUUCGGUUCAAAUUUCACUUCGGAUUAGUGGCAGACGGGUGGGUAACGCGUGAGCAACCUACCUCUUACAAAGGGAUAGCCUCGGGAAACCGUGAUUAAUACCAUAUGACACAUUCAUAAGGCAUCUUAAGAAUGUUAAAGCUACGGCGGUAAGAGAUGGGCUCGCGUCCCAGUAGCUAGUUGGUGAGGUAACGGCCCACCAAGGCGACGAUGGGUAACCGGCCUGGGAGGGUGACCGGUCACAUUGGAACUGAGACACGGUCCAAACUCCUACGGGAGGCAGCAGUGGGGAAUAUUGCAAAAUGGAGGGAACUCUGAUGCAGCGACGCCGCGUGAGCGAUGAAGGAAUUAGUUUCGUAAAGCUCUGUUAUAUGGGAAGAAAAGGACUGUACCAUAGGAGAAAGCCCCGGCUAAAUACGUG